UCUCUUUAUCAUUAAUUGGUUAUUUAUGUUCAUUAUGUUUAAUAAUAUUAUUCAUUAUUUUUUGUAGAACUCAAAAGAGAAGGAAACAUGUUGCUUUAAAAAAGAAAUCAUGAGAAAGUGAAAACAGGGAAAGGGAAGGAAGAAUUGCGAAUGAAGGUGUUAAGAAAUAUCCUAAUAAGAAAAAGGAAGGAAAGGGGUUGAAAAAGAAGGAGUUAAAGAAGAAGAGUUAAAGGAAGGAAAAGAUGAAGGAAAAAGUUAAAAAAUCAAAAGCAACUCCAAAGAAACGAGAGUUGGAGGAGAAGGAGUUAAAGGAGAAAGAGUAGAAGAAAUUGAAACAUAAGUUGAAGAUGUUAAAGGAGGAAAAAGUUUAGGGAAAAAAAUAAAUUGUAAAAAAAAAAAAAAAGAGAGAACCAGAAACAGAUGAUGAUGAACUUGAAGUGGUGAAUUUGGAUGAUGGUGAUGAGAAUGUAAUGGAUGAUAAAAAUGACAUAUUAGGUGUUAGCGUUGGGCAUUUCAAAUUCAUGAAUUUUGUGAAACAUUUGAGUCAAGCUCAAAGAGAACUUGUUGUUCAAAUGGGGUUUGGAGCUAUACUAGAUGUUAAUCUUCCACAAAAUGAUCAAAAAUUUUGUGCAUGGUUGGUGAAGAACUUUGAAGAAAACAAUUGCACACUAUAUUUGCCUUAUAACAAAUAUAUUGAAAUUUGAGAAGGUGAUGUAGAAGUGGUAUAUGGAAUACCAUGGGGAGAAAAAGUUGUGAAAGAAGUUAAAGAAAUAGAUGAAUCUCAUGAAGAGGAAGAGAAAGAAAGUCUUUUGACAAGGUGGAGAAAAAGCAUAUAGCAUCACUUCUGGAAGCCCAAAAACUCACUUGAUUUUGGGAAAUUAUUCACCUGAAGAACAGGAAGAAGAGAAGGACAAGAAAAAGAGGAAGAAGAAGGCUGCAAAAGCACCUGCUAUUCAACAAAACUCGGGUGAAGCAGAUGAAAUUUUUCUCAUUGAUUUUGUUGUGCUAGCCUUAAACUGUUUGAUGAAAUGAAGCCAAGACAUCACCUGUCAUUACAAGUUCCUAUAUUCAUUCAAAGAUUGUAAUGAAAUCAAGGAGUACAAUUGGUGCAAGUAUGUACUUAGAAGCUUGAUAGAUACUACUUUUGAUUGGAAAAGCAACAAGAAAGGGUUAUAUAAGGGUCCAUUGCCUUUCUUAAUGUUGACUUACUUUGAUCGAUUGCAAAGAAAGGGUAUUGUAACACCAAGAACUACAUCACUGAUUUCUGUUUGGAACAAGGACAUGGUGAAUGAGAUAAGGAAGUUGGAGAAGAAGGAUUAUGGAUUAGGAACCGUGUUACCAAGAAUCCAAAAGGCUUUUCUCGAUAUACCAGAGAAAACAGAUAAGGUGGAUAUUUGUCAAAGAUGGCAACAAAACUCAAUCGUGCCAAGGAACUAUUUUCAAACAAUCUCCUUUACAAAACAAUGGAAGAGUUCAUUGAAAAGAAGUUAAAGGAACCUUCAAUGUUGAGUCAAGAUGAAGAAGUGCUUGGAUCUGAGUCUUUUUUGCGUGCAGUAGAUGAGGUUGAGAGAUAGUACUUGCAAAGAGUAGCUGAGAGGAUAGUAGCAGAAAAGAAAGAAGAAAAAAAAAGCAGCAGCUAAGGAAAUAGGGAAAGCUACAUUUGACCCGAGUAAUCCUUUUGACUUGAGGAUUAAUGGAAGUCCAACCCCAAGCCCCAAAGAAGCUGUUAUUGCAAGCGGAUCAAAAAUCAACUUGAAUCUUGGACUAGGACCGUCAAUAGUUGAGAUAGAAGAAAUUUCGGUAAUGGAAGCAUCAGAAUUUGAUACUAUGCUGAACAACCUGGAUACAACUAAGGCAGAUAUUUUUGGCCCGCCACUGUAAGAAAACUUCUCGUUUAAUGAAGGGCUAAGUAAAGUAGCUCUAAACUGGACAUUAGUUUUUGUGUAGGACAUAUAAUGGUUGAAGUGCUAGGAUGUAGUAUGAAGAUGAAAUUUUUUGGUCAAGUACUAGAAUGAAGACUUUGAAUAAGUUUUAGGAAGAAGUACUGUGAAAUUUUUUGGACAUAAUGCAUGUAAUUAAAAUGAACAAGUAUUAGGAUGAAGUACUUUUGUAUUGUAAAUA